rnacentral:rRNA from 1 species
AACGAACGCUGGCGGCAUGCCUAACACAUGCAAGUCGAACGAGACCUUCGGGUCUAGUGGCGCACGGGUGCGUAACGCGUGGGAACCUGCCCUUAGGUUCGGAAUAACUCCCCGAAAGGGGGGCUAAUACCGGAUAAUUUCUUCUGACCAAAGAUUUGUCGCCUUUGGAUGGGCCCGAGUUGGAUUAGCUAGUUGGUAGGGUAAAAGCCUACGAAGGCGACGAUCCAUAGCUGGUCUGAGAGGAUGAUCAGCCACACUGGGACUGAGACACGGCCCAGAAUCCUACGGGAGGCAGCAGUGGGGAAUAUUGGAAAAUGGGCGAAAGCAUGAUCCAGCAAUGCCGCGUGAGUGAUGAAGGCCUUAGGGUUGUAAAGCUCUUUUACCCGGGAUGAUAAUGACAGUACCGGGAGAAUAAGCUCCGGCUAACUCCGUG